AGAGUUUGAUCCUGGCUCAGGAUUAAUGUUGGUAGUAUGCUUAACACAUGCAAGUCGAGCGGAAAGUGUUAGUAAUAUCACUUUUAGCGGCGAACGAGUGAGUAAUGCUUAUCUUAUUUGCCAAUUAGUGGAGGACGUGUUGGAAAGGUCCUGCAAAGGAUCUUCUAACUAAUACUGCAUACCCUUUGGCUUCGGCCAAAGGAAAGGAAGUCUUCGGACUUUCGCUAAUUGAUAAGGAUAAGUUGUAUUAGCUUGUUGGUGAGGUAAUGGCUCACCAAGGCAAUAAUGCAUAGCCAGGCUGAGAGGCUGAUUGGCCACGAAGGAACUGAGACACGGUCCUUACUCCUACGGGAGGCAGCAGUGAGGAAUUGUUGGCAAUGGGGGAAACCCUGACCACGCAAUACUACGUGAAGGAAGAAGGUCUAUGGAUUGUAAACUUCUUUACUCAGGUAUACUCCUAAAAGCUUGUAUCUGAGCAAAAAGUCACGACUAACUAUGUGCCAGCAGUCGCGGCAAGACAUAGGUGGCAAACAUUAUCCGGAAUUAUUGGGCGUAAAGGAUGCGUAGAUGGCAGAGUAAGUUACUGGUUGAUGUCAAACUCAAUUUGACGGAAGCUGGUAAUACUGUUUUGCUAGAGGACAGGAGAGGUUGAUGGAAUUCUGUGUGGAGCGGUGAAAUGCGUUGAUCUACAGAGGAACACCAAAAAAGGCGAAGGCAGUCAACUAUCCUGUUCCUGACAUUGAGGCAUGAAAGCGUGGGGAGCAAACCGGAUUAGAUACCCGGGUAGUCCACGCCCUAAACGAUGAGCAUUAGAUAUUAGGCAAUAUGCUUAGUGUCGCAGCUAACGCUUUAAAUGCUCCGCCUGGGGACUACGGCCGCAAGGCUAAAACCUAAAGGAAUUGACGGGGACCCGCACAAGCGGUGGAGCAUGUGGUUUAAUUCGAUACAACGCGCAGAACCUUACCAAGGUUUGACAUGGAGGGCAAAGUUGAAGAAAUUCAACGGAGGUUAUCCCGACACAGGUGGUGCAUGGUCGUCGUCAGUUCGUGCUGUGAAGCAUAUGCUUAAGUGCUAUAACGAACGCAACCCUCGUAUUUAGUUACUAUCAUUCAGUUGAGAACUCUAAAUAGACUGCUAAGGUAACUUAGAGGAAGGAGAGGAUGACGUCUGAUCAUCAUGCCCCUUAUAUCUUGGGCUACACACGUGCUACAAUGGUUAGGACAAAGGGUCGCCAACCCGCGAGGGGGAGCCAAUCCCAAAAAACUAACCCAAGUUCGGAUUGGAGUCUGCAACUCGACUCCAUGAAGUCGGAAUCGCUAGUAAUCGUGAAUCAGCAACGUCACGGUGAAUACGUUCUCGGGUCUUGUACACACCGCCCGUCAAAUCACGAAAGUCGGUAAUACCUGAAACCAACUCCCGCAAGGGAAACUCUCGUAAGGGAGGGAAAGUUGACAAGGGUAGGAUUGGCAAUUGGGGUUAAGUCGUAACAAGGUAUCCGUAGGGGAAUCUGCGGAUG
rnacentral:rRNA from 1 species